rnacentral:RNase_P_RNA from 1 species
GUACUUUGUUGGAUAGUUACCCUCUAGAUUAGGGGGAGGAAAGUCCGGACACUGCUAAUUUUAAUUAGAGAAUGGUAGCGGGUAACGCCCGUCGGGAGAGAUCCUAGAGGUGCGAGCAGAGACGUCGAAGUCGAAAGACAACGACAUCCUACAUUAUAGUAGGGUGAGUCAUGCGGAAACGUAUGGAGUGAAACGGCUAAAUCCUUACCUCAGUGCAAGGCCGAGCCCAAUUUUAAAUUGGGAGUGCUGCAAGAGGCGACUGGUAACAGUCGUCCCAGAUAAAUGAUUAUCGUCAUAGACCUUUGUCAAGUUCUAUGGUACAGAAUCCGGCUUAUAGACGAAGUAAAAAG